UGGCUCAUUAAAUCAGUUAUCGUUUAUUUGAUAGUACCUUACUACAUGGAUACCUGUGGUAAUUCUAGAGCUAAUACAUGCUAAAAACCUCGACUUCGGAAGGGGUGUAUUUAUUAGAUAAAAAACCAAUGCCCUUCGGGGCUCCUUGGUGAUUCAUAAUAACUUAACGAAUCGCAUGGCCUUGCGCCGGCGAUGGUUCAUUCAAAUUUCUGCCCUAUCAACUUUCGAUGGUAGGAUAGUGGCCUACCAUGGUGGCAACGGGUAACGGGGAAUUAGGGUUCGAUUCCGGAGAGGGAGCCUGAGAAACGGCUACCACAUCCAAGGAAGGCAGCAGGCGCGCAAAUUACCCAAUCCCGACACGGGGAGGUAGUGACAAUAAAUACUGAUACGGGGCUCUUUUGGGUCUCGUAAUUGGAAUGAGUACAAUCUAAAUCCCUUAACGAGGAACAAUUGGAGGGCAAGUCUGGUGCCAGCAGCCGCGGUAAUUCCAGCUCCAAUAGCGUAUAUUAAAGUUGUUGCAGUUAAAAAGCUCGUAGUUGAACCUUGGGUCUGGCUGGCCGGUCCGCCUCACCGCGAGUACUGGUCCGGCUGGACCUUUCCUUCUGGGGAACCUCAUGGCCUUCACUGGCUGUGGGGGGAACCAGGACUUUUACUGUGAAAAAAUUAGAGUGUUCAAAGCAGGCCUUUGCUCGAAUACAUUAGCAUGGAAUAAUAGAAUAGGACGUGCGGUUCUAUUUUGUUGGUUUCUAGGACCGCCGUAAUGAUUAAUAGGGAUAGUCGGGGGCGUCAGUAUUCAGCUGUCAGAGGUGAAAUUCUUGGAUUUGCUGAAGACUAACUACUGCGAAAGCAUUCGCCAAGGAUGUUUUCAUUAAUCAGGGAACGAAAGUUAGGGGAUCGAAGACGAUCAGAUACCGUCGUAGUCUUAACCAUAAACUAUGCCGACUAGGGAUCGGGCGGUGUUUCUAUGAUGACCCGCUCGCUUCCGUAGGUGAACCUGCGGAAGGAUCAUUACCGAGUGUAGGGUUCCUAGCGAGCCCAACCUCCCACCCGUGUUUACUGUACCUUAGUUGCUUCGGCGGGCCCGCCAUUCAUGGCCGCCGGGGGCUCUCAGCCCCGGGCCCGCGCCCGCCGGAGACACCACGAACUCUGUCUGAUCUAGUGAAGUCUGAGUUGAUUGUAUCGCAAUCAGUUAAAACUUUCAACAAUGGAUCUCUUGGUUCCGGCAUCGAUGAAGAACGCAGCGAAAUGCGAUAACUAGUGUGAAUUGCAGAAUUCCGUGAAUCAUCGAGUCUUUGAACGCACAUUGCGCCCCCUGGUAUUCCGGGGGGCAUGCCUGUCCGAGCGUCAUUGCUGCCCAUCAAGCACGGCUUGUGUGUUGGGUCGUCGUCCCCUCUCCGGGGGGGACGGGCCCCAAAGGCAGCGGCGGCACCGCGUCCGAUCCUCGAGCGUAUGGGGCUUUGUCACCCGCUCUGUAGGCCCGGCCGGCGCUUGCCGAACGCAAA
rnacentral:rRNA from 1 species